GUCAGUGUGGUAUAAUGGUUUCAGUGUUGGACUGUGACUGGAGACCAGGCUUCGAUUCCCUGCUCAGCCA